rnacentral:rRNA from 1 species
UGGGGAAUCUUAGACAAUGGGCGCAAGCCUGAUCUAGCCAUGCCGCGUGAGUGAUGAAGGCCCUAGGGUCGUAAAGCUCUUUCGCCAGGGAUGAUAAUGACAGUACCUGGUAAAGAAACCCCGGCUAACUCCGUGCCAGCAGCCGCGGUAAUACGGAGGGGGUUAGCGUUGUUCGGAAUUACUGGGCGUAAAGCGUACGUAGGCGGACUAUUAAGUCAGAGGUGAAAUCCCAGGGCUCAACCCUGGAACUGCCUUUGAUACUGGUAGUCUUGAGUUCGAGAGAGGUGAGUGGAAUUCCGAGUGUAGAGGUGAAAUUCGUAGAUAUUCGGAGGAACACCAGUGGCGAAGGCGGCUCACUGGCUCGAUACUGACGCUGAGGUACGAAAGUGUGGGGAGCAAACAGGAUUAGAUACCCUGGUAGUCCACACCGUAAACGAUGAAUGCCAGACGUCGGCAAGCAUGCUUGUCGGUGUCACACCUAACGGAUUAAGCAUUCCGCCUGGGGAGUACGGUCGCAAGAUUAAAA